AAACUUUGUUAGGUGACUCAAUAAGUGACUACUGUGGUGCCAGAACACUGAUAAAGAAGACUAAUGUGAAGUGUUCGUGUUAACUUCUAUUGUUAAGGAUUUAGAAAAUCCUUGUAUUUAGAAAUAAUAAGAAAGCAAGAAGAGGACUAUAUGUCCUUUCAAUGUAGUAAUGAAACAGUAUUCAACAAGCCCACCCCCAGAAUUAUUUAAUCAUUUAAUUCAGUAGGAAAAUUUACCUGUAUUUAACCUGGCUAUUUGCUAUGAAUUUGACUCUAUGUAACCCCAUGGACUGUAGCCCACCAGGCUCCUCUGUCCAUGGGAUUUACCAGGCAAGAAUACUGGAGUGGGUUGCCAUUUCCCUCUCUAAGAUACUGUGCAGUUACAUGUAAAUUUGUAGAUUUUUGUUUGGUAGAGAUGUAAAUAAUUAUGUCUAAUAGGAAAGAUAAUGAUUAUUAUUUCAUUGCCCUGUAAAACAUUAACUUGUUUUAUAUCUAACCUAGCAAUCUUUUCUUUUCCCCUAGAAAUAACCAGUUUGUCAAAUGCUCUUGGAACCAGCUUUACCAUCCUACCUGUUCUUUCAUCAGUUAAAAUAAAAUCAUUGACAAGAGUUCAUUCUAUAUAGCAGAAACCAACACAACAUUGUAAAGUAAUACGGAUAUGGGGGUGCAGCAGAAGCCUGGGUGAACCUCUGACCAUAGGUCAGAUGAGACCAAGAAUGUGUCAGUGGAUCUCAGAGUGGAACACCAUCAAGGGGACAAGAUUGUUCACCUGUGCAAGAUCUCAGCAUACCACCCCUCCAUGUUCAGAUCCA
ensembl:lncRNA